rnacentral:rRNA from 1 species
UACGGGGGGAGCAAGCGUUGUUCGGAUUUACUGGGCGUAAAGGGCGCGUAGGCGGCGCAACAAGUCACUUGUGAAAUCUCCGGGCUUAACCCGGAGCGGUCAAGUGAUACUGUCGUGCUAGAGUGCGGAAGGGGCUACUGGAAUUCUCGGUGUAGCGGUGAAAUGCGUAGAUAUCGAGAGGAACACCUGCGGCGAAGGCGGGUAGCUGGGCCGACACUGACGCUGAGGCGCGAAAGCCAGGGGAGCGAACGGG